rnacentral:lncRNA from 1 species
CUUUGCAUUUGUUCAGAAUGAAUUUCAUUUGGCUAUUUCCUUCCUAUGCCUGACCCUUCUUUCCCAGGGCAUUAUCUCUUAGCUCUUUGUCCUCACCAGGAUUUGCAGCACCUUCCCAUUUCAUAUCCUCUGCAAAUUUAAUUAACAUGCUCUUUACCCUCCCUCUUUCAGAUCAAAUGAAGAUGUUAAAGGAGAGCAGACCUGGCACAGAUCUAACCACUAACCACUAACAACAAUACAAGUACCUCGCACUUAAAUUAUGCACUUUCCAUCGGAAGAUUUCAAGGGCCUAUGCUGAACUGGAUUACUGAGGGUGGAGCCCGUGGUUGGGAAGGAGGACCCUGCAGAGCGCCGUGUUGGUGGCCCAGGCUCUCUGCCGAGAUGCCUUUCAACCCCCAUUGGGAUUCUCCAAGACGGACUUUGCUGCCCGAUGAGUGGAGUAUUGUGUCACGAAGGCCACGAGCUCAGCUCUCCCAUGCCCGGAGCAAUGGCCCGAAUUCUGGGCUAUUUGCGGUAUCUCAUUGCAUUUGGAAACAUUUUGAAACUCUCCAUUUUCAUUCUGAUGCCGGUUGAUGACUGGUCUUUUUCCGAGGGUGAAUGUCCUUUUGUGCAUUCUAAUUGCUGUUCCCAGCCAGCUCUAGAGGGGACCUGGCUCUUCUACCAGCCCACCAGAAGGCAAUAGAUGCCUUCAGGCUGAGCACAGCUCUGGAUGCGGGCAGCUCUGGUGGGAUUGAAGCCCAUCAGCUCAUGGUCAUGUCCCACUACCACUUCACUCUCCUGCCCCCCUGAACCCCUCUGCCUGGGGGCUGUGCACCGGGCUGCAGUGUGCCAGGGGAUGCAGGGAUCCCAUCACUCCUCCCAGGUUGACUGAAAUUCCGAGUUUUCAGUCAAGAAUAAGUGCUGUGUUCUGCUUUUCCAUGUGCUGGAUCUCUGCACAUCACUCCCAUGAUACGGUCUCCUCUCCUAGCUGCUGCUGGAGGCUCACCCCACUUUCUACAUCCAGACCUUGGAUGAGAAAGAAAUCGGUGUGAAGCUGCCUUCUCUCUUGAUGGGCAUGGCUUGGUGCCUGGGGAUCCCUGCUCCCCAGAACCACAGGGGAAAAUCCUUGGACACACAAAGAGAAAAUCUCACACACCUUCAGCAUGAGACACACAUGCAUAUCCAGCACAGAGGAGCCAUCGGGUGGUUAAUUAGCCCCAGAGCCAUUGCCAAUGGGGUCUAUUAGCAGCCUUUUAGUAGAGUGCUCCCUGUUUGGGAUAAGAGAGUGCGCAGGGCAGGACAUAGGCAACAGGAAGGCCCAGAAAUGAGGGACUGUGCUCCAGCUGCUGUGUGGGAGUGGAAUUCCUCACCAAGCUCCUAUUCAUCUCCUUCCCUCCUGUGAAAGGAGCGGUGUCCCAGACAGGCAGGAAGCAGCUGCAUUACCUGCUUCGAUAAUGCCCCAUUCCUUCGCAGCCCUCAGGGAGGAGGAAGGAAGUAAGCACAAUAGCUAAGGGCCAGAGGAAGGCUCCGCACAGGAACACUCUCCUCCCUCUUUCCUACCCGCUUUGUGUCUUGGGAUGCUCUUGGACACCGG